UGUGCCUGUGCUUAUUUUGUGGCCUAUAGCCGCGCUUGAUCAUUUGAUGGUUCUAAACCUUACUUGAUUACUUACCCUCAUGGAUUGUGUGUGCACGCUUAUUGGUUAUUUACCUUUAUGAACACUGUGUUCACGCUUGGCAAUCGUUCUAAUAAAAUCUUGCUGAAAUGUAAUUUUUAGAAAUUUAUUGUUUUAAUUUCUUUUUCUAUUAAAUAAAUUGCUAUCUAAUGGUAUAAGAUUUUAUAAGGUGAAAUUAUAUAAUUCAAUUGUAGAACAAAGGUUAUAACUUGAAAAAUUGUAUUACCUUUAAUCGACUAUGCAUCUAUUUGGUUCACCUAUUUAGAUAAAACUACUAUAUCACACAAUGUGUUUUCAUUAUAAUAAUGGUUAUUAUUGUGGAACUUAUAAUUAUUUUAUAAACAUUUCCUCAUUUUACUUCAAUGAAAUCUAAAUUGAGACAUUAUUCAUUGAAAAUUUAUUUUAAUCUUAGAUUCAUUAGCCGACACUAAACCUACUAUGACUUAUGAGGGGAGUAUCACUGCUAAGGGGAAAUUUGUUUAAGACUCUCUCUCCUUUUUUAUGUAAUUCUAAAAACUUAUAUAUUUUAUCUUUAAAGAGUGCGGUUAUAUGCUCGACAUAUGCUAUAAUUAAGGUCUUCAAUUUGGUUAUAUACUCUAUCUACUAGUUGGAAGGAGCUGAACUUCUGAUUGUUAUCUUAUUUAGUUUAAAUAUUGUAUUGUAAAGUUUUUGAUAGGCCCUACUUAUAUGAAAAAAAAGUAAAGCUUGUGUUAACAUGAAAAUGAUUAAGGAUGUUAUAAUUUUAGGAUAAAUAUAAUUACGUUUUGAAAAUAGAAAAUUUUUGAUUUAAAGCUUAAGGAAUAUAUGAUAUGGUUCUUAUACCAUGCUAGUCAUUAUCUGUUUUAUGGGUGUGAUACCUUUGCAUGUGCAAAUUUUAUCUCUUAUGUGUUGAAGAAAAGAAAGUUAAGGACUUAAUAAUAGUAUUUUGAGCAUUGUGUUUACUUAAAAGCUGGACUAUUGUUAAUUUAGAGUUUGAGUGGACUUUGAAAUCAAGUAGUGUGCUAUUGAACAAUUUCAAUUGUGAUGGCUGUAUUUGGAUACUUGUUAAUUGUUAAUUUUUCAUAGAAUGUACACUAAAAUUUGCUUGAUAAAUUAUAUGUUUAUUUUAUUUAUUUAUAAGUUUUUUAAUUACUAAUUUGCCUUAAAAUGUGGACUAAAUAUAUAUAUAUAUAUUUAUAUUAUAUAAAUUUUAAAUUGUUAAAGAAAAAAUUUUGGUGAAUUUUUUGCGGGCAAUUUGCCAAAAAAUGGGUUGAGUUUUUUAAUUGAUAGGUAGCCCAACCUAACUCGUAAAACCGUAGCCCGUUUGCCUAAUAUUAAUUUCCUUGAAUCCUCUUGAUAUGAGAAAUAAUUUGAAUUUUAAAUUAUAAAUUUAAGGAUAAUUUAAACUUUAAAUUUGUAUUUGGUACAUUUUAAACAUUUUAAAUGCUUAAAUGUGUGAUAAUCUAGCACCCACCGUUAGUAUGAAGUUAACGCUGUUAAUGUUUAAAAUAUAGUGAGGCCCACUCUCAAUCUGCUCUCUCCUCCCCCUUCUCCUUAUCUCUCUCCUCUUUAUCUCUUUUGCUUAACCAGGUCAGGAAUUUUCUUGAGAUAUCGCCAUUGUUUGUGUCUCCCAUUAAUCUUUUCCUGUUCUGUGUCAAAACCUUUGAGAAAUCAUUGCCGGCAUUGCUCCCGGAGUAUAUCGGCAUGUUUUCUCCCUCCACUCUCUCUCUGCUUCCGCCGCCCUUUAUCACCUCAUUAGGGCUGUUUUUCUUUAUCCUUUUCAAGAAAUUUGUUGCGGCGCUCCUCUUCUUAUUUGACAUAAAUGCUUCUUGUUUUUUAUCUACUGCUGCUUUGCUGUUGUUAUCUGAUUUAAGAGGGCUUGCUUUGCUAGAUUGAAACUUCUUGUUCCAGAUGGCACUAGCACCGUCGUCAAUGAGGUUCUUGUUGCUUCUUCUCAUGCUUCUUACUUUGGUCACCAGCUUCUCCUUCAACCCAGGCGGCAGAGAAAGAGGAGCAAAGGGAGGAGGAAAAAACGUUGUUCAUCAAAAUCAUCAGAAACUGAUGGUGGCCUCUUCUAAGGUAGUAGUGGUUUCUUGUCGCUGCUUAACCAGUCAUGCACAACAUGCACUUUGUGAUGAAGCGAGGCAAGAACUUGGGAAAGACUCUGAGUAACACCAUGCAUAUUAGUGGGUCAGCUGGCGUUAUUCAAUCGGAGGAAAUGCAGAAACUGAAUUGGAAAAGAAAGGAAAGGAAACGUACGAGAGGGAGAGAGGAAGAAGAGAAGAGAAAGGGAGGGAGUUAGGCUUGGAUCUAGGAGUCUUUACGACCGUUGCAAGCUCGGCUACACGAUAGAAAAUUGUUGGUGGAACUUAUUGAGAAGUAAGGAACAAGCCGAGCCCUAUUUUGUACAAGGGGAACCCUUUUGGUACCAAAGAGUUGAGGUCCAGGCGAAGGAUCCAGUGGUGGAUGGGGAAAAGAGCAAAGCUAGGGGUUUGCUUGUGAUUUGUAAAGAACUGCAACCCCUUUCUCUUGAGCAAAUAUAUUGUAAUGUAUUUAGGAUUAGGGUGCCAGUAGGAUAUGAUUAUGUAUGUAUGUGUGAAUAUGUGUGGAUUGUGUGCUUGUGUAUGAAUUUUUGUCUGUUUGCAGACUUGUGGCUAGGAAACUUGGUUAUGGUGUGUGGUUUUGAUGGAUUUACUUAGUAGACCAAGUUUCUAUUACAAGCAGAUCUUUAUUUGAUAUAUAUAUAUAUGUGAUUUUAUAAGCAAAUGCAAAGUGGUUGCAU